GAUGAAACGCAGCGAAAUGCGAUAAGUAAUGUGAAUUGCAGAAUUCAGUGAAUCAUCGAAUCUUUGAACGCACCUUGCACCCUUUGGCAUUCUGAAGGGUAUGCUCGUUUGAGUGUCAUUGUACUCUCACACUCCCGAUCUUUGCAUUGGGAGCAGUGGACUUGGGUUUGCUGCUUCACCGUCGCUUACCUCAAAUAGGUUAGUGCAACUCUUGGUUGGACAUAGUACGGCGUGAUAAGUGUUCUUCGCCGGUGCCUCGCAAAGAGGGUGGCCGAUCGGGAUGUUGUGCUCCAAACCGUCUUCGGACAAUCUCUGACGACUUGACCUCAAAUCGAGUAAGACUACCCGCUGAACUUAAGCAUAUCAAUAAGCGGAGGA
rnacentral:misc_RNA from 1 species